rnacentral:rRNA from 1 species
UGGGGAAUAUCGGACAAUGGGCGAAAGCCUGAUCCAGCCAUGCCGCGUGUGUGAUGAAGGCCUUCGGGUUGUAAAGCACUUUCACACGUGACGAUGAUGACGGUAACGUGAGAAGAAGCCCCGGCUAACUUCGUGCCAGCAGCCGCGGUAAUACGAAGGGGGCAAGCGUUGUUCGGAAUUACUGGGCGUAAAGGGCGCGUAGGCGGUGCACUAAGUCAGGCGUGAAAGCCCUGGGCUCAACCCGGGAAUUGCGUUUGAUACUGGUGCGCUUGAAUCCAGGAGAGGUUGGUGGAAUUCCCAGUGUAGAGGUGAAAUUCGUAGAGAUUGGGAAGAACACCGGUGGCGAAGGCGGCCAACUGGACUGGUAUUGACGCUGAGGCGCGAAAGCGUGGGGAGCAAACAG